rnacentral:rRNA from 1 species
CCUACGGGGGGCUGCAGUGAGGAAUAUUGGUCAAUGGGCGUAAGCCUGAACCAGCCAAGUCGCGUGAGGGAUGAAGGUUCUAUGGAUCGUAAGCCUCUUUUAUAAGGGAAUAAAGUGUGGGACGUGUCCUAUUUUGUAUGUACCUUAUGAAUAAGGAUCGGCUAACUCCGUGCCAGCAGCCGCGGUAAUACGGAGGAUCCGAGCGUUAUCCGGAUUUAUGGGGUUUAAAGGGUGCGUAGGCGGCCUUUUAAGUCAGCGGUGAAAGGCUGUGGCUCAACCAUAGAAUUGCCGUUGAAACUGGGGGGCUUGAGUAUGGGUGAGGCAGGCGGAAUGCGUGGUGUAGCGGUGAAAUGCGUAGAUAUCACGCAGAACCCCGAUUGCGAAGGCAGCCUGCUAAGCCAUGACUGACGCUGAGGCACGAAAGCGUGGGGAGCAAACGGGAUUAGAUACCCCUGUAGUC